rnacentral:tRNA from 2 species
GGGGAUAUAGCUCAGUUGGGAGAGCGCUGCGUUCGCAAUGCAGAGGUCAGGGGUUCGAGUCCCCUUAUCUCCA